rfam:Tupaia chinensis contig110155, whole genome shotgun sequence.
UGUGUAGACAUGUUCCAUGGCCUUCAAAAUGGGUCCUUUGUGAGGCACUCAGUCUGUUAACUAGAGGAUUGCCUUCAUAUUGGACGCUGGUGCUUCUGG